CUCCAGACUGGGUAACAGAGUGUGACCCUGUCUCAAAAAAAAAAAAGUAAGAUAAAUAAAGAAAAGUAAUUAUCAUUAGAUCAUUGGCUGUGGCAACAAGGAGUUCACUGGCGAGAGUGGCAAGGGCUAUUCCAGUGGGAGACCUGGCCAAAGGCUUACUUGAGUGGACUGAGUAAGGUCAUGGAGAAGAUGAAGGAAUGAUUUCAAACAUGUAAACUGAAAAGAUUGGCUAUUACUUAUUGAGUGCUUAGGAUAUCUAAGCAUCUCUCGAAGGACUUUAUAUGAAUUUACUUUAUAUGAGGAAGUUAUGUGUAUUAGCUACAAUUUGUAGACAAGGAAACUGAGUUAACAGAAAGCCUAUAUUACUUGUAUGAUAACAUAUAGUAAGUGAUGUGAUGGAGCAGGGAUUUUUUUUUUUUUUCGGAGUCUCCCUCUAUUGUCCAGGCUGGAGUGCAGUGGUGUGAUCUUGGCUCACUGCAACCUUCGCCUCCCGGGUUCAAGCAAUUUUCCUGUCUCAGCCUCCCAAGUAGCUGAGACUACAGGCGCCUGCCACCACACCCGGCUAAUUUUUGUAUUUUUAUUUUUAGUAGAGAUGGGGUUUCACCUUGUUGGUGAGGCUGGUCUCAAAUUCCUGGCCUCAGGUGAUCCACCUGCCUUGGCCUCCCAAAGUGCUGGUAUUACAGGCGUGAGCCACCACGCCUGGCCGGAGCAGGGAUUUUUAACCCAAGGAGUCUAACUUUAGGAAUCUGGCUCUUAAUCCCUAUGUUAUAGCAGAAGACUCUCUACAAUUAGUUCCAUAACUUCCUGAUACUAAGACUACAAAAAUGAAAUGUUCCUUUUCAUAGGGAUAACAUCGAUGAUGAUACUUCCAUCAAAAUUUUCUGCAACCAUUUUUCUUGCAGUUGACACUUAUCUUCACCUUUCUUUUUCUGGUGGAAGGAAACAGGGAAAGUGGGAUGCUAUGGUUUGAAUGUGUCUCCUCCAAAAUUCAGGUGUUCUCAAUGUGAUAGUAUUAAGAGGUGGGCUUUUAGGAAGUGAUUAGGUUAUCUACAUUCCACUGUCAUGAAUGGAAUUAAGACCCUCAUAAAAGACGCUUCACACAACAUUUGGCCCUUUUGCCCUCCUCCCUUCUGCCAUGUGAGAACACAGUGUUAUCCACUGUGGAGGACACAGCAACAAGACACCAUCAUGGGAGCAGAGAGCAGCUCUCAUGGGACACCAAAUUCCAGCACCUCGAUCUUCGACUUUUCAGCCUCCCAGAACUGUGAGAAUAUAUUACCAGUUACAGGUAUUUUCUUAUAGUGGCACAAACUAAGGCAGGAAGUAAUAUAACAGAAAAUGGUAAAAUAAUAUAGACAUGAAUGAUGAAGUUUAGAUAAAGAUACAAACAUUUAAUAAUCUUAUGGCUUUCUUCUACUAAAAACAAAACACUAAAAAAAAUUUCCAGUUUAGAUUAAUUAUGGAAGGAAAUAAAAAAUGCACUGAAAAUAUUUAUGAUUACUACUGUUACAGGAUCUCUUUGGGGUGUGGAUUUUCUGGCCAGAAGCCUCUGUGGCUGUGGCACCUUGGCCUGCAUCCAGGAAGAAUGAGGUACAAAGACAAGUGAAGAAUGAACAAGAGGAAGAUGAGCUUUAUUGAGUGUUUGUACAGCUAAGAGGAGACGCGCAGUGGCAGUGGGUGGCUCCCUUCUGUAGGCAGGUCAUUCACCCGGUGUUCGGUUCUCAGCAAAGAGAAGGCCCUGGAGAGAGUGGCUUCUCUCUGCUCACUGGUCAUCCCAAUCGAUGUCUGCAGCUCUCAGCAGAGAGGAGGCCCGGAAGAGGGUGAGGCCCUGGAGAGGGUGGCUCCUCUCUGCCUGCAGGUCAUCUCUGCAGCUCUCAGCAGAGAGGGUAGCUCCUCUCUGCAACUGGUUGUUCCAUCCUCUCUCUGCCCUUUUCUUCUCUGGCCAUCCUCUCCUGUGCUCUGGCUGAGUCCAGAACUUUUAUGGAUCUCAGAGGGGAGGAAGUGCCUGUGGAAUCAUCCAUGCGCAGCCACAGGCUGGCGGGAAGAGGCACCACGAGCCCCCACUCCAGUCCAUGGGACUGGCAGCCUGCCCCCACCCUUCAGGCCCUCUCUGGCCUGAAGGUGAGGCCUUACUGGGGACCCACCCUUUUCCACCCAGGAAUCAGUCCCCUUUUCCAUCCAAGAAUCAGUCUGCCUCCCGCUGCCAUUCAUGGCCCCUAGGGAUUGGCCCCAACCCCUGCUCUGAGAUUGGAGCACACUCCAGGAGUGGAGAGAGGCCAGGCAGCGGAAGCAGACACCCACGAAGCCUGCUCGGAGGAUUAGGGGUGUCCUUCUUGGGUCCCCUAAGGGUUCAGGCUGCAGAGAUGCCAGGGUCUUGCGCCUGGGAGGGUGGCUUCAGCUGCACCCAGGAGGGCAGAUCCUGCCUGCUCCUGGCCCCCUCCAAGAGCAGACGGAGGCUCAGACCCACAGCUGCAGUUUGGGUGGGGUUCCUGCCUGUUCCAUAGAGCAGGAGCCCUGGGUCUGCAGCCACAGCUUGGGUGGCAGCAGCGGCAUCCAGGGAGCUCCUGCCCCAACUCAGAAGGGACAGGGCUCCCACCAGCUCCAUGGAGUGUGCAGCCCCAGCACACCUCCCUGCUGCAGCUGGUACCACUGCCAUCACUAUGUCCCAGGCAUCAUGGAUACCAAGUACCAGGACAAAGUCAUCAUUCCCUUAAAGCUUAUAAUCUAGUGAAAGCAGAAAAAAUUAAAAUAUUAUAACACAGUGUGACAUUUUGUUGAAUAUUACGUUAGUGCAGGUGCAGGUACAAUGGGAACACCAAACUGAAGGCCUAAUCUGAUCCAGACCUGGGAAGAUUUCCCUCAGCAAGCAUUGUGUAAUUUGAGAUAAGCGGAACAUAUGGACUGUUAGAUAUAUACUCUGUAAAACUCUCAAUGGUUAGCCUUUAGAUAGAUACAUGUAUAGAUUAGGGUGAGCAAACCCAUGGGCCAAAUCUGGUCUUCCAGUUUUUUGUAAACAAAGUUUUACUGAAUACAGCUUUGGUCAUGAAAUUACAUAUUACUACUUUGUCAACACAGUGGCUGAGCUUAGUGUCUAUAUGACAUACAAAACAGAAAAUAUUUGUUAUCUGGCCCUUUAUAGAAAAAAAUUGCCAACUCUUGAUAUAAAUAAUUUACUUGUUGCAUGUAUAAAUUAUUAUAAUUAAUGUUUUCAAGGAAUAUUUGUAAAUAUUUGUCAUUAAAUUAUUAUAUUUAAAGUAUUUUUAAAUUAGUUUAUCAAAUGAAUUUUUUUUUAAUUUAAAAAACAUGGAAACACUGAGUGAGCUUUUUAUAAGGCAAUUAUCAACUAGUGCUUAUUAGCUGUGGCCCCCUUAAGAUGGGAUGAGCUUUCCAGGUCAUCACUGCCCCGCCAGUCCUUGUUUUUCCUAUAUGUGACUCUGUCACUCAUUUAUAUUAUUUUUCUGGACCCUCUAGGAUUUGAGUUUUGACCCAAUGAAAGUGAAUCCAAGAUGAAGUCUGUCUUUCUAAGCAAAUGCCAGGAAAGAUAAUCAAUGGAAGUUCAAAGAUGAAAAUACAGGCUGUUGUCAGAGGAUCUGCUGUUUCAGAGAAUAAAGAGUUAAGGAAGGGACAAAAAAAAUCACAUUCCAUUCUGUAGUGGACUAGAGGAAAAGUGUCCAGCUGGGAGAAGAAUGGCUGCAGAGAAGGAAGCAGAAAGAUGAGCUGAGAGACUUCUCAGCAGGCUGGAAUGGGACUAUAACUGAUAUAUCAUGACCACACCAACUGAGGGUGUGGAGUAGGUCACCCAUUGGGGAUGGAAA
rnacentral:lncRNA from 1 species